CGUUUUGUCUCAUUUUGUUGAUUCUAUUUUUGAUCUUAAUGAAAUCACACGAGUCUUUUUUUGUUAAACACGUCAGAAAUGUGAAUGCAAAUGCCUUGUCGUUGAGUUCAGUAUGCACAGUUGCAUGUGAUUGAUUUUUCAAUUAAUAGACAAACGUUAUCAAGUGGCCUGUAAACAUCUCAUUCAGAAAGGGCGCUCGUGAUUUGUGAUAACAUAAAAUCUAGUCAAUACACUGAUGACAGCAUUAUUUUGAAAAAAAAAAAAAAAACUUAUAAAAAAAACCGAUGUUUCCGCUCGGAAGUAAUCGGAAGUAACGAAGUAAUUUGUUGCUGGUACAAAGAGCGAUUGAUAUUCGAUUUUCAAAGCAUACAGACGAGCGUAUCGUGCAAGUUGACACGUAUCAAAACGACGACGCACUGGCAAACAGAAUUAUUAAGUACUAACAAAGGUGUUUGUUAUUAUUGAUUUUUGACGCUUAAUUUUCCUGGCACAGCAACUCUGGGCAUGCAAUACAAUGAAAUUCCUUUGCUUUCUCGCAGCCGGUCUUCUAUGCAUGCACUAUAUUUUAUUCUGGGUCAUGUGUGAUUGCUGUUAUGGUUAUAAGCCAUAAUAAAAUAUUGACAAGAAUAAUUUGUGAUUGGAGAUAUCUUUGGGACAAUAAAAUGUGCAUAAAACCGGCAAUUUUAAGAAGAAAUAAAUUGAUUUUGUUAGAAUGAAAAAAAUUUAAAAA